GAUGAACGCUAGCGGGAGGCCUAACACAUGCAAGCCGAGCGGUAUUGUUUCUUCGGAAAUGAGAGAGCGGCGUACGGGUGCGGAACACGUGUGCAACCUGCCUUUAUCUGGGGGAUAGCCUUUCGAAAGGAAGAUUAAUACUCCAUAAUAUAUUGAUUGGCAUCAAUUAAUAUUGAAAGCUCCGGCGGAUAGAGAUGGGCACUCUCAAGAUUAGCUAGUUGGUGAGGUAACGGCUCACCAAGGCGAUGAUCUUUAGGGGGCCUGAGAGGGUGAUCCCCACACUGGUACUGAGACACGGACCAGACUCCUACGGGAGGCAGCAGUGAGGAAUAUUGGUCAAUGGGUGCAAGCCUGAACCAGCCAUCCCGCGUGAAGGACGACUGCCCUAUGGGUUGUAAACUUCUUUUGUAUAGGGAUAAACCUACCCUCGUGAGGGUAGCUGAAGGUACUAUACGAAUAAGCACCGGCUAACUCCGUGCCAGCCGCCGCGGUAACAC
rnacentral:rRNA from 1 species